rnacentral:rRNA from 1 species
UACAGAGGGGGCAAGCGUUAUUCGGAAUUAUUGGGCGUAAAGGGCGCGUAGGCGGCUUUGCAAGUGACGGGUGAAAUCCCUCGGCUUAACCGAGGAACUGCCUGUCAAACUGCAUGGCUUGAGACCGGGAGAGGUGAGUGGAAUUCCCAGUGUAGCGGUGAAAUGCGUAGAUAUUGGGAAGAACACCAGUGGCGAAGGCGGCUAACUGGUCCAGAUCUGACGCUGAGGUGCGAAAGCGUGGGGAGCAAACAGG